AAAUUGAAGAGUUUGAUCAUGGCUCAGAUUGAACGCUGGCGGCAGGCCUAACACAUGCAAGUCGAACGGUAACAGGAAGCAGCUUGCUGCUUCGCUGACGAGUGGCGGACGGGUGAGUAAUGUCUGGGAAACUGCCUGAUGGAGGGGGAUAACUACUGGAAACGGUAGCUAAUACCGCAUAACGUCGCAAGACCAAAGAGGGGGACCUUCGGGCCUCUUGCCAUCGGA
rnacentral:rRNA from 1 species